CAGAGCUCCUGUGGUGUACAAACUUUCAAGUUCAAAAAGAAUGCCAGUGCUUUUCAUGUGUCUGUACACAACAUCUGAGGCACAAAACUCGAUCUCCGCUGCGCCUCGAGAAGACCUGGAGAGGAGCCGCCACCUUACCACAAUCAAAAUGCCAUUUCUCAUGCUUUCCAAUGGCCAGCAUCACACCACCAUUUCCAGAUCAGCCCAGCCUGGUAUGACGGACUUUAAGGUGAGCUUUGAAGAGCAAUUAGCAAUUAGAUCAAAGAAGGCUGGAAAGCGUCACAGCAUUUCAACCUCACACACACAAAAGAAAUAAAAGGUCUGGUUUUCACAGGAUUAAAUAUAGUCUUAAACAGGUGUUCCUGAGACUGGGGCCUCUUGAUGUAUUGGUGUCUCUGGCUCUGGCAGGUUUGAGAGGAUAAGACUCCCCUGCUAGCUGCUGGAGUGAAAAAACAACCCCAAAAGACUGGAAUGUUGAGCCCCACUGUGCCUAAUUGAUUGGAAUUCUGUUGACCAUGUGUGUCUACACUGGGCCGGCUGAAAUAAGCUGUGUUAAAUCACAUUCCAUGGGCUGUGUCAGCCCUCGGCUUUGUACAGGCAAUAGCAUCUGGAACCGAGCAUUCCCAAUGCUCGAGAAGAGACUCCGUUUUAAAGAUUCGACUGGCAUAAAAGUGGAUUGGCUCAGCUGAACUGGUGAUGUCAAAGAACACAGGAGACUACAGGUGAACUAUUCAUGCCGCCAGGGUAAAUAGGCUGCACAUAUUGGAAGGAUUUCAAUGUGUUUUUGUUUGAAAAAUGCAGCUGCAGUUUUUUUCUGGGAAAAGAUUUGCUAUUCUCAGGAGCCCCAGACUCAACCCUUUCCUCUUAGUUUUCAGUUGUAUAAUAUAUAAGCAAGUCAUUGGUAAAGUAGAUAAAUAGUAUAAAAAUAUACCUUUAUGAAUUUGAUGGAAUAGCUUGCAUGAUAAAAAAACAUCUGCCCAGAUAGAUAGAUAGAUAGAUAGAUAGAAAGAUAGAUAGAUAGAUAGAUGUGUGUCCUGUAAACACAGUACACAAAGAAAACAGUUGUGUAUUCACAAAACCAGACUGUGGAUUCAGGCCGACUUCCACAAAACAUCUUUCACAAAGACUCCUCUGCUCAUGCACAUAGUAGAUGUUUUGUAAAAUGUUACAGCAGUGGGCACAAAUGACCUUCUGUAGGGCUCCCUGUUGCACCUUGGUUAGAUCAGCCUACUUCCAAACGUGCUCUUCAUUCCAACAAACGUCAUGGAGGGGGUGGGAGUUGUUCCUGAUAGUCAAUAGGUCUGUUGUAAUCAAAU
ensembl:lncRNA